rnacentral:pre_miRNA from 1 species
UCUAGCAAUAUAUUUGCAGGUUUUAGGUCUAAGUGAAGGAUAUCGAUCUCUGUUAAUAUAUUGUAAACCUUCACAAAUUCCCUUGAUUAUUUCAUAGCGCGCUAUUUUAAAAGAAAUGAUUUGGCAUUGGACAAACCAAGUUGUCCAACAUGCAUAUUCAUGACUUGAAAAAGUAAAAAAAAUACAGUCUGGAUAUUGUGUUUGACUUAGAAAGAUGGAAAAGCUAAACAAAAAGUUGUGAAGGCAGAUGAUAAAAGUGCUAUUGAAUGAUCAAGGAAUUUGUGAGGUUUACAUUAUCUUCGCAAGAGUUGUAUUGUUCACUUAGACCUAGACAUGCAAGUAUAUUUCUAGG